rnacentral:rRNA from 1 species
GACGAACGCUGGCGGCGUGCUUAACACAUGCAAGUCGAACGAAGAGCGAUGGAAGCUUGCUUCUAUCAAUCUUAGUGGCGAACGGGUGAGUAACGCGUAAUCAACCUGCCCUUCAGAGGGGGACAACAGUUGGAAACGACUGCUAAUACCGCAUACGAUCUAAUCUCGGCAUCGAGGAAAGAUGAAAGGUGGCCUCUAUUUAUAAGCUAUCACUGAAGGAGGGGAUUGCGUCUGAUUAGCUAGUUGGAGGGGUAACGGCCCACCAAGGCGAUGAUCAGUAGCCGGUCUGAGAGGAUGAACGGCCACAUUGGGACUGAGACACGGCCCAGACUCCUACGGGAGGCAGCAGUGGGGAAUCUUCCGCAAUGGACGAAAGUCUGACGGAGCAACGCCGCGUGAGUGGUGACGGCCUUCGGGUUGUAAAGCUCUGUUAAUCGGGACGAAAGGCCUUCUUGCGAACAGUUAGAAGGAUUGACGGUACCGGAAUAGAAAACCACGGCUAACUACGU